UAGGGAAUCUUCCACAAUGGACGAAAGUCUGAUGGAGCAACGCCGCGUGAGUGAAGAAGGGUUUCGGCUCGUAAAACUCUGUUGUUAAAGAAGAACAUAUCUGAGAGUAACUGUUCAGGUAUUGACGGUAUUUAACCAGAAAGCCACGGCUAACUACGUGCCAGCAGCCGCGGUAAUACGUAGGUGGCAAGCGUUGUCCGGAUUUAUUGGGCGUAAAGCGAGCGCAGGCGGUUUUUUAAGUCUGAUGUGAAAGCCUUCGGCUCAACCGAAGAAGUGCAUCGGAAACUGGGAAACUUGAGUGCAGAAGAGGACAGUGGAAAUCCAUGUGUAGCGGUGAAAUGCGUAGAUAUAUGGAAGAACACCAGUGGCGAAGGCGACUGUCUGGUCUGUAACUGACGCUGAGGCUCGAAAGUAUGGGUAGCAAACAGG
rnacentral:rRNA from 1 species